UCAAGGGGAUAAGGGCAUUUGGUGGAUGUCUUGGCAAGAGAGGCCGAUGAAGGACGUGGCAGGCUGCGAUAAGCCUCGGGGAGGAGCCGAGCAUCCUUAGAUCCGGGGAUUUCCGAAUGGGGUAACCCCAUCGUGUCAACCACGAUGAGUCGCGCCUUCGGCGCGACGGGGAACCUGGCGAACUGAAACAUCUUAGUAGCCAGAGGAAAAGAAAACAAAAAAGCUUCGCUUUAAACAAUCAACAAUUAAUAGUUAAAUGUUAACUGUUAAAAGUUAAUUGUUCGCGAAGCGUGUGAUUCCCAAAGUAGUGGCGAGCGAAAUGGGAAGAGUCUAAACCUGGUUCUGAGCUUAGAUUCGCCGACUACAACCUAUAGUUUCUAUAAGUUGUGGGAGGCUAAUCUGCUAGUCCAGGGGUUGCGAGAUAAGCAAAUUACGGUCUUUGAGUUGGUUAGCCGAAGGAGCCUGGAAAGGACCGCCAAAGAGGGUGAAAGCCCUGUAGGCGAAAAUCAACUCAGACCCUUGUUUAUUCUCAAGUACUGUCGGACACGGGAAAUCCGGCAGGAAUCAGGGAGGAUCACCUUCCAAGACUAAAUACCUCUCAUGACCGAUAGUGCACAAGUACCGUGAGGGAAAGAUGAAAAGAACCCCGAAAAGGGGAGUGAAAUAGAACCUGAAACCAAAUGCCUACAAAGAGUCGGAGCUCUGCCUUUGGCAGGGUGACGGCGUGCCUUUUGCAUAAUGAGCCAACGAGUUAAUUGGAAAGGCGAGGCUAAGGGUUUGUCCCGGAGCCGUAGUGAAAGCGAGCCUUAAAUGGGCGUUAGUCUUUCCAAUUAGACCCGAAACCAGGUGAGCUAUCCGUGGGCAGGGUGAAUCUGUCCUAACAGACAGAGGAGGCCCGAACCCGUGGAAGAUACAAAUUCCUGGGAUGACCUGCGGAUAGAGGUAAUAUGCCAAGCGAACCUGGCAAUAGCUGGUUCUCCCCGAAAUAGCUAUAGGGCUAGCGUUCUGCAAAGCCCGGCGGGUAGAGCGCUGGAUGAUGUGCGGGGGCGCAAGCUCUCGGCAUCAAACAAACUCCGAAUAGCCGGGUCAAAUGCAGGAUAGUCAGAAGGUGGGGGACAAGCUCCAUCUUCAAAAGGGGAACAGCCCAGACCGUCAUUUAAGGUCCCUAAGAAUGGCUAAGUGGGAAAGGAAGUCAUUGAUCUUAGACAGGUAGGAAGUUGGCUUAGAAGUAGCCACCUUCUAAGGAGUGUGUAAUAACUCACUACCUUAGGUUUUUGGCGCCGAAAAUGUAACGGGGCUUAAGCCAUUCACCGAAGAUACGGUUCCCUCUCGCAAGAGAGGGGAGGUAGGGGAGCGUCCUCUGUUGGUUGAAGCAGGAGCGUGAGCCACUGUGGACGACAGAGGAGUGCGAAUGUUGGCAUGAGUAACGAAUUAAACCAGUGAGAAACUGGUUCACCAAAUACCCAAGGUUUCCUGGGCAACGAUAAUCGUCCCAGGGUAAGUCAGGCCUAAGCCGUAGGAGAAAUCCGAAGGCGAUGGACAUCCGGUUAAUAUUCCGGAACCUCCGCUAUUUGCGAUGGGGUGACGAAGAGGGAAGGUCGGAGGGUACAAUGGUUUGUGCCUCUAAGUAGAUGGAGGGGGUGGUUGGCAAAUCCGCCACUAGAAACUCUGUCUACGAAUGAAACCUCAUGAUUGAGGGAUUCCGGUGGACUCUCUUCCAAGAAAAACCUCUCAGCAUAAAAUAGCGGAGUCUGUACCGCAAACCGACUCAGGUGGGUGGGCAUAAGUGUGCCCAGGUGAUCGGGAGAACCCUAAAAAAGGAACUCGGCAAGAAAGCGGUCGCAACUUCGGGAGAUGACCUCCCCAUUUGCCGCAAGGUAAAUGGGGCGCAGCGAAAGACGUCCAAGUGACUGUUUAACAAAAACACAGGGUUCUGCGAACCCGCAAGGGAAUGUAUAGAACCUGACGCCUGCCCAGUGCUAGUCAGUCAAGGGGAGGGCUGAAGGCAUUUUGCCCAGGCUCGAACUGAAGCUCUAGUAAACGGCGGCGGUAACCAUGACCGUCCGAUGGUAGCGAAAUUCCUUGGCGUGUAAGUUACGUCCCGCACGAAUGGCGUAACAACUUGGACACUGUCUCUUUUAGGGUCCCGGUGAAAUUACAAUGCCGGUGAAGAUGCCGGCUACCCGCGGCAAGACGGAAAGACCCCGUGAAGCUUUACUAUAGCCUGAUAUUGGAUUGCUGUUUAGACUGUGUAGCGUAGGAGGGACCUCACUCUGUGAGGGCCAAUGAAACACCUCUCUGUCUAAAUAGCGGUCCUAAUCCGCCGAAAGCGGAAACAGUGUCAGGUGGGUAGUUUAUCUGGGGCAGAUGCCUCCUAAAAGGUAAUGGAGGCGCCCAAAGGUCGGCUUACUCCGGAUGGAAAUCGGAGUGAAAGUGCAAAGGCAUAAGCCGGCUUAACUGUGAGGCUGACAGGCCGAACAGAUGCGAAAGCAGGGCUUAGUGAUCCUCCGAUGGCACGUGAGAGCGUCGGAGCUCAACGGAUAAAAGCUACUCCGGGGAUAACAGGCUGGUCGGGCCCAAUAGCUCACAUAGACGGCCCGGUUCGGCACCUCGAUGUCGGCUCAAGGUAUCCUGGGGGUGGAGAAGCUCCCAAGGGUUGGGCUGUUCGCCCAUUAAAACCUUACGCGAGCUGGGUUCAGACCGUCGCGAGACAGGUCGGUCCUAAUCUGCCGUGGGCGUCGAGUCUUGAGGGAGGCUGCUCCUAGUACGAGAGGACCGGAGUGGACGAACCUCUGGUAUACCAGCUGUCCUACCAAGGGCAUCGCUGGGUAGCUAAGUUCGGUUGGGAUAACCGCUGAAGGCAUCUAAGCGGGAAGCCCUUCCCAAGAUGAGGACUCAUAGAUCCCUGAAAGACGAUCAGGUUGAUAGGCCCUAGGUGUAAGCCCCGCAAGGGGUUGAGCCGAGGGGUACUAAUCGAUCGAUCCCUUGAGUA
rnacentral:rRNA from 1 species